GACGAACGCUGGCGGCGUGCUUAAUACAUGCAAGUCGAGCGCGAACAUUCCUUCGGGAAUGUUUGAGCGGCGGACGGGUGAGUAACGCGUGGGCAAUCUGCCCUCUAGCCUGGGAUAACAGUUCGAAAGGACUGCUAACACCGGAUAUUAUGAUUCCGAGGCAUCUUGGGAUUAUGAAAGUUUACACUAGAGGAUGAGCCCGCGUCCCAUUAGCUAGUUGGUGAGGUAACGGCCCACCAAGGCGACGAUGGGUAGCCGACCUGAGAGGGUGAACGGCCACACUGGGACUGAGACACGGCCCAGACUCCUACGGGAGGCAGCAGUAGGGAAUUUUCCGCAAUGGGCGAAAGCCUGACGGAGCAACGCCGCGUGAGGGAUGAAGGUCUUCGGAUCGUAAACCUUUGUCUAGAGGGACGAUAAUGACGGUACCUCUGGAGGAAGCCACGGCUAACUACGUG
rnacentral:rRNA from 1 species